GGUUAAGCGACUAAGCGUACACGGUGGAUGCCCUGGCAGUCAGAGGCGAUGAAGGGCGUGCUAAUCUGCGAUAAGCGCCGGUAAGGUGAUAUGAACCGUUAUAACCGGCGAUACCCGAAUGGGGAAACCCAGUGUGAUUCGUCACACUAUCAUUACGUGAAUACAUAGCGUAAUGAAGCGAACCGGGGGAACUGAAACAUCUAAGUACCCCGAGGAAAAGAAAUCAACCGAGAUUCCCCCAGUAGCGGCGAGCGAACGGGGAGGAGCCCAGAGCCUGAAUCAGCAUGUGUGUUAGUGGAAGCGUCUGGAAAGGCGCGCGAUACAGGGUGACAGCCCCGUACACAAAAGCGCAUGUGUUGUGAGCUCGAUGAGUAGGGCGGGACACGUGGUAUCCUGUCUGAAUAUGGGGGGACCAUCCUCCAAGGCUAAAUACUCCUGACUGACCGAUAGUGAACCAGUACCGUGAGGGAAAGGCGAAAAGAACCCCGGCGAGGGGAGUGAAAAAGAACCUGAAACCGUGUACGUACAAGCAGUGGGAGCACCCUUCGGGGUGUGACUGCGUACCUUUUGUAUAAUGGGUCAGCGACUUAUAUUCUGUAGCAAGGUUAACCGUAUAGGGGAGCCGGAGGGAAACCGAGUCUUAAUUGGGCGUUAAGUUGCAGGGUAUAGACCCGAAACCCGGUGAUCUAGCCAUGGGCAGGUUGAAGGUUGGGUAACACUAACUGGAGGACCGAACCGACUAAUGUUGAAAAAUUAGCGGAUGACCUGUGGCUGGGGGUGAAAGGCCAAUCAAACCGGGAGAUAGCUGGUUCUCCCCGAAAGCUAUUUAGGUAGCGCCUCGUGAACUCAUCUCCGGGGGUAGAGCACUGUUUCGGCUAGGGGGCCAUCCCGGCUUACCAACCCGAUGCAAACUGCGAAUACCGGAGAAUGUUAUCACGGGAGACACACGGCGGGUGCUAACGUCCGUCGUGAAGAGGGAAACAACCCAGACCGCCAGCUAAGGUCCCAAAGUCAUAGUUAAGUGGGAAACGAUGUGGGAAGGCCCAGACAGCCAGGAUGUUGGCUUAGAAGCAGCCAUCAUUUAAAGAAAGCGUAAUAGCUCACUGGUCGAGUCGGCCUGCGCGGAAGAUGUAACGGGGCUAAACCAUGCACCGAAGCUGCGGCAGCGACACUAUGUGUUGUUGGGUAGGGGAGCGUUCUGUAAGCCUGUGAAGGUGUGUCGUGAGGCAUGCUGGAGGUAUCAGAAGUGCGAAUGCUGACAUAAGUAACGAUAAAGCGGGUGAAAAGCCCGCUCGCCGGAAGACCAAGGGUUCCUGUCCAACGUUAAUCGGGGCAGGGUGAGUCGACCCCUAAGGC
rnacentral:rRNA from 1 species